CUGAUGCAGCAACGCCGCGUGAGGGACGACGGCCUUCGGGUUGUAAACCUCUUUUAGCAGGGAAGAAGCGAAAGUGACGGUACCUGCAGAAAAAGCACCGGCUAACUACGUGCCAGCAGCCGCGGUAAUACGUAGGGUGCAAGCGUUAUCCGGAAUUAUUGGGCGUAAAGAGCUCGUAGGCGGUUUGUCGCGUCUGCUGUGAAAACUGGGGGCUCAACCCCCAGCCUGCAGUGGGUACGGGCAGACUAGAGUGCGGUAGGGGAGAUUGGAAUUCCUGGUGUAGCGGUGGAAUGCGCAGAUAUCAGGAGGAACACCGAUGGCGAAGGCAGAUCUCUGGGCCGUAACUGACGCUGAGGAGCGAAAGGGUGGGGAGCAAACAGGCUUAGAUACCCUGGUAGUCCACCCCGUAAACGUUGGGAACUAGUUGUGGGGUCCAUUCCACGGAUUCCGUGACGCAGCUAACGCAUUAAGUUCCCCGCCUGGGGAGUACGGCCGCAAGGCUAAAACUCAAAGGAAUUGACGGGGACCCGCACAAGCGGCGGAGCAUGCGGAUUAAUUCGAUGCAACGCGAAGAACCUUACCAAGGCUUGACAUAUACGAGAACGCUGCAGAAAUGUAGAACUCUUUGG
rnacentral:rRNA from 1 species